CCUAAUACAUGCAAGCUGAACGGUAAAUAUUGUAGCAAUACGAUAUGAGAGUAGCGUAAGGGUGCGUAACACGUAUGCAAUCUGCCCUGUACAGGAGGAUAGCUCGGCGAAAGCCGGAUUAAUACUCCGUAAUAUUAUUGAGGGGCAUCUCUUGAUAAUUAAAGUCGCAAGACGGUAUGGGAUGAGCAUGCGUCUGAUUAGCUAGUUGGUGGUGUAACGGACCACCAAGGCGAUGAUCAGUAGGGGAACUGAGAGGGAGAUCCCCCACACUGGUACUGAGACACGGACCAGACUCCUACGGGAGGCAGCAGUGAGGAAUAUUGGACAAUGGGCGCAAGCCUGAUCCAGCCAUGCCGCGUGCAGGAUGACGGUCCUAUGGAUUGUAAACUGCUUUUGUACAGGAAGAAACACUCCCUCGUGAGGGAGCUUGACGGUACUGUAAGAAUAAGGAUCGGCUAACUCCGUG
rnacentral:rRNA from 1 species